rnacentral:rRNA from 1 species
AUUGAACGCUGGCGGCAGGCCUAACACAUGCAAGUCGAGCGGAUGAAGGGAGCUUGCUCCUGGAUUCAGCGGCGGACGGGUGAGUAAUGCCUAGGAAUCUGCCUGGUAGUGGGGGAUAACGUCCGGAAACGGGCGCUAAUACCGCAUACGUCCUGAGGGAGAAAGUGGGGGAUCUUCGGACCUCACGCUAUCAGAUGAGCCUAGGUCGGAUUAGCUAGUUGGUGGGGUAAAGGCCUACCAAGGCGACGAUCCGUAACUGGUCGGAGAGGAUGAUCAGUCACACUGGAACGGAGACACGGUCCAGACUCCUACGGGAGGCAGCAGUGGGGAAUGUUGGACAAUGGGCGAAAGCCUGAUCCAGCCAGGCCGCGUGUGUGAAGAAGGUCUUCGGAUUGUAAAGCACUUUAAGUUGGGAGGAAGGGCAGUAAGUUAAGACCUUGCUGUUUUGACGGUACCAACAGAAGAAGCACCGGCUAACUUCGUG